CAAAAAAUAAUCUAUUAAAAUAAAAAAUUUAAAAAUUUAUCAACUUUUAUAAAAGAAGAUAAUUUUACCCCUAUCACUAAUAUUUCAAUUCAAUAGUCAAAUUCUCUAAACUUAUAACCAUGAAUUAUGCAUUCCUUAUCCUAAAAUCUGAAAUUUUCUUCCAACUACUAUAAAUUUUGUAUAAUUCUUCUUCUUAAAGUGGUGAUUUUUUUUUUUUUUUCCUGUAGUGGCAGUGUCAAAAUGAAUUAUUCUUUGUGGUGGCUGAGUCAAGGAUCAAGGAAAGCAGCGUCAUCGUUGUCGAGCACAAGCAGUUGCAGUGACAGGCGACGCCAGUUAUGUUUUCCAGCAACGACGACGCUGUCGUCGGUGAAAAGAGGGGGUGGCGACGACAUGCGGUUCACUGAUUUUUUUGCUUCUUUACUGUUAAUCUCGAAUUCGCAACUAGUUGUCUUGAUUGUGAAUUCGAAUUUUAAAACUAAAAUUCACAACUCAAAUAUAUAUUGGUUGUGAUUCUUGCAAAACUAUCAAUGUGGUCAUUUCAACAAAGUAAAGAUAAGCUGAGAAAUUAUUUUUCUUUGA